UGUAGAGCCUAGAGGCUGUAAGGUGUACAGGAAGACAACGUGGCACACGAAAGAAAAAAAAAGAAUAAAAAAUAUUUUAAAUAAAUGAAGUUUUAUGUGUUUUUUAUGUCUGUCAUAAUCUGUCUCUCUUUCUAUCUCCCACUCUCUCUCUCUCUCACUCUCUAUCUACCUGUCUAUCCAUCCAUCUAUCUAUCUAUCUGUCUAUCUAUCUAUCUAUCUAUCUAUCUA